GCCUUCGUGGUGUAGUGGUCUGCAUGCUCGACUCAUAGCUGAGAGGUCCAUGGUUCGAUUCCCGGCGAAUGCG
rfam:Stegodyphus mimosarum contig83500, whole genome shotgun sequence.